GACGAACGCUGGCGGCGUGCCUAAUACAUGCAAGUAGAACGCUGAAGAGAGGAGCUUGCUCUUCUUGGAUGAGUUGCGAACGGGUGAGUAACGCGUAGGUAACCUGCCUUGUAGCGGGGGAUAACUAUUGGAAACGAUAGCUAAUACCGCAUAACAAUGGAUGACACAUGUCAUUUAUUUGAAAGGGGCAAUUGCUCCACUACAAGAUGGACCUGCGUUGUAUUAGCUAGUAGGUGAGGCAAUGGCUCACCUAGGCGACGAUACAUAGCCGACCUGAGAGGGUGAUCGGCCACACUGGGACUGAGACACGGCCCAGACUCCUACGGGAGGCAGCAGUAGGGAAUCUUCGGCGAUGGGGGCAACCCUGACCGAGCAACGCCGCGUGAGUGAAGAAGGUUUUCGGAUCGUAAAGCUCUGUUGUAAGUCAAGAACGGGUGUGAGAGUGGAAAGUUCACACUGUGACGGUAGCUUACCAGAAAGGGACGGCUAACUACGUG
rnacentral:rRNA from 1 species